ensembl:lncRNA
CAUGUUUUUUGUACCUUUAUUUAACUAGGCAAGUCAGUUCAGAACAAAUUAUUAUUUUCAAUGAUGGGUUAGGAACAGUGGGUUGGUUAACUGUCUUGUUCAGGUGCAGAACGACAGAUUUGUACCUUUUCAGCUCGUGGAAUUCCGUCUUGCAACCUUUCGGUUACUAGUCCAAAGCUCUAACCACUAGGUUACCUGCCGCCCCUUAUAUUGUUAAACACUGUAGCAUGUUUACAUUAUUAGGUACUUUAGCAAGUUUACAUUAUUAGGUACUGUAGCAUGUUUACAUUAUUAGGUACUAUAGCAUGUUUACAUUAUUAGAUACUGUAGCAUGUUUACAUUAGGGACUGCAACAUUUACAUUAUUAGGUACUAUAGCAUGUUUACAUUAGAUACAGUAGCAUGUUUACAUUGUUAGAUAAUGUAGCAUGUUUACAUUAUUAGAUACAGUAGCAUGUUUACAUUAUUAGAUACAGUAGCAUGUUUACAUUAUUAGAUACUGUAACAUGUUUACAGUAUUAGAUACUGUAACAUGUUUACAUUAUUAGAUACUGUAGCAUGUUUACAUUAUUAGAUACUGUAGCAUGUUUACAUUAUUAGAUACUGUAGCAUGUUUACAUUAUUAGAUACUGUAACAUGUUUACAUUAUUAGAUACUGUAGCAUGUUUACAUUAUUAGAUACAGUAACAUGUUUACAUUAUUAGAUACAGUAGCAAGUUUACAUUAGAUACAGUAGCAUGUUUACAUUGGAUACAGUAGCAUGUUUACAUUGGAUACAGUAGCAUGUUUACAUUAUUAGAUACUGUAACAUGUUUACAUUAUUAGAUACUGUAGCAUGUUUACAUUAUUAGAUACAGUAGCAUGUUUACAUUAGAUACAGUAGCGUGUUUACAUUAUUAGAUACUGUAGCAUGUUUACUGCAACGCCAUGAAACUUGACCUCUUCCAGUAUUAUGUUAACUGCAACAUUAUGAAGACAUUUCAUUACUCAUAUAGCUGAGGAUGUCAAAGACCACUUGUCUACACACAAUGUUCCCCCAAACCAGCUGUGCUUUUUCUAUAAUUUGGCAGUCACUACAAUAGUUAAAUCACAGCACGACUUUGCAUGCACCAUCACAGGUGUAGAAAAAUGUGAAUCCUCCAGUUUGGCCAAACCUGCCAGUCACUACAAUGUCCCAAACUGCAGGGAUAGGUAAUCCACUCGUCACAUGUUCCAAUCUCCAAUCUGUUUUAGGAUUAUCCCAAAAUGUCCUCUGCCGCACUUGGUUAUACUGUAUCUCUACCUAGCAGGCCUAUUCUCCCACUGUGGACUGACAUCCAGGCCUGAUCUUUACUGGAUAACCAAGUUAAAAAUUCAUUUUCCUUGUAAAAACACGUUUAUGAGUGGUUAAAAAUCCAGUAAGACUGUCUCUCACACAUUGACAUUCUAGAAAUUUUACUUAAAAAUUCUAGAAUAAGUUCUAGAACAUUCAAGUGGGACUUCAGAG